rnacentral:lncRNA from 1 species
CAAACCGAGCUCUCCUCCGCGGCAUCCAGGCUCGCUCAGAAAUGCAGAGAAGCUGCCAGCUGACUCGCAAGCCUCUCUCCCUUCAGCCUUGUUUGAAGAGGCCCCCGGGUUCUUGGAAGUGAGGGAGCCCAGCGCUGGGAAGCCACGGGAAGAUGUUCCGCACAUGGAGCCAGGGGCAGGCGCAGCUGCUGCGGGAUCCUCCGGGCAUCUGCAACCAUCAAAGCCUCCCUGGUGCCUCUGACCUGGCAGCUGGAGCCAGGGGAAAGCACCAUGGCUUUGUAUGGAGUCCUUCCUCAGACAUUUUGCACAUCUACAGCUUUUAUGGUGUGCUGUGGUUGUGGGUGCAAAGCUCACAAGCAGUACCUACAGCAUUCACCAUUUGGAGUCCAAGGAAAGCCGAUUUCUGUGAUCUUUAUUCUGGAAAGACACACAAAGUUUAAGUGAAAGGGUUUCUGGUGUCCUUUCCAGUGGAGGGGUUGUUAAUGUCUGGUGCUGUGGGCCAAGAAAAGAAGGAACAAGCUUGAAAAUCCCCACAUCCUCCUGUAGGACCAGAUCCUUCCUUUGGAUGUGGUUCCUAUUGAGUGCACCAGAUAUUGCCCAAGUGAAGCUAAGCACGGAGCUUGACCUGGUGAUUUUGCAAGCCCCAGUUUAAGUUUCAUGUGUACUUUUAUCCAGUUAAGCAAACAGCUGUUUCUCCUGUGAGAUAAAUGCCCUCCUCAGAGAUGUCUCCAGGCGAUGUUUGGCUGCUCUGGCUUUUCUCCUGCUUCUCACAAACCCUCUGUCUGACCACUGGGUGUCAGUAAAAGACUGCGAAGUGAUUUUCUGCAAUUAAAUAUACAUGGAUUCCUCUCAGGCUCUGUGGGUGUUCAUUUCUUAAGGUGGCCAAGGCAAAUUUGAGAAUACAACUGACACACACACACACCAGAAGCGUAGAAUAAUUAACAAAAGCAGCUCAGAUCAGUAAGUUUUUCCUGAAUCAUGUCACUAUUCUAUUUGAAUUCAUUCAUACUAUCAGGCAACUAAAUAAAUUAAAGAAAAAUAGUUAUGUUUUUUUUUUU